CGGGCAGACUAGAGUGCGGUAGGGGAGAUUGGAAUUCCUGGUGUAGCGGUGGAAUGCGCAGAUAUCAGGAGGAACACCGAUGGCGAAGGCAGAUCUCUGGGCCGUAACUGACGCUGAGGAGCGAAAGGGUGGGGAGCAAACAGGCUUAGAUACCCUGGUAGUCCACCCCGUAAACGUUGGGAGCUAGUUGUGGGGUCCAUUCCACGGAUUCCGUGACGCAGCUAACGCAUUAAGUUCCCCGCCUGGGGAGUACGGCCGCAAGGCUAAAACUCAAAGGAAUUGACGGGGACCCGCACAAGCGGCGGAGCAUGCGGAUUAAUUCGAUGCAACGCGAAGAACCUUACCAAGGCUUGACAUAUACGAGAACGGGCCAGAAAUGGUCAACUCUUUGGACACUCGUAAACAGGUGGUGCAUGGUUGUCGUCAGCUCGUGUCGUGAGAUGUUGGGUUAAGUCCCGCGACGAGCGCAACCCUCGUUCUAUGUUGCCAGCACGUAAUGGUGGGAACUCAUGGGAUACUGCCGGGGUCAACUCGGAGGAAGGUGGGGAUGACGUCAAAUCAUCAUGCCCCUUAUGUCUUGGGCUUCACGCAUGCUACAAUGGCCGGUACAAAGGGCUGCAAUACCGUGAGGUGGAGCGAAUCCCAAAAAGCCGGUCCCAGUUCGGAUUGAGGUCUGCAACUCGACCUCAUGAAGUCGGAGUCGCUAGUAAUCGCAGAUCAGCAA
rnacentral:rRNA from 1 species